rnacentral:rRNA from 1 species
UGUGGGAUUUCGAAGACAACUAGGAUGUUGGCUCAGAAGCAGCCACACAUUCAAAGAGUGCGUAAUAGCUCACUAGUCGAGAGGUCCUGCGCCGAAAAUGUCCGGGGCUGAAACACGACACCGAAGCACAGGAUACCGCAAGGUAUGGUAGAGGAGCAUUGCUGGCGCGAUGAAGCAGUACCGUAAGGAGCUGUGGAGUGCCAGGAAGAGAGAAUGCCGGAAUGAGUAGCGAGAGAGAGGUGGGAAUCCUCUCGGCCGAAUAUCCAAGGUUUCCAGGGUAAAGCUGAUCUGCCCUGGGUAAGUCGGGGCCUAAGGAGAGGCAGAAAUGCGUAUCCGAUGGACAGCAGGUUGAGAUUCCUGCACUAUCUUAAAACAGAACUGUGGGGACAUUUGUGGAGAGCACAGGCGCGGAACGGAAAGCCGCGUGCAAGCGAAGGAGGAGUCACAUAGGAAAAACCGUGUGGCAAUCCAAAGGCGUGAUGCGGACCGAACUAAAGUAGGGAAGUGUGUGAGCCAUGAAUCAAGAAAAGCCGCUAUUGUUUUUAAGAUACCCGUACCGUAAACCGACACAGGUGGAUGAGGAGAGAAUCCUAAGGCCGGCGGAAGAAGCAUUGUUAAGGAACUCGGCAAAAUGACCCCGUAACUUCGGGAGAAGGGGUGCCAACGAGAGUUGGCCGCAGAGAAUAGGCUCAAGCAACUGUUUAGCAAAAACACAGGUCUAUGCAAAACCGUAAGGUGAGGUAUAUGGGCUGACGCCUGCCCGGUGCUGGAAGGUUAAGAGGAGAGGUUAGCGCAAGCGAAGCUUUGAAUUUAAGCCCCAGUAAACGGCGGCCGUAACUAUAACGGUCCUAAGGUAGCGAAAUUCCUUGUCGGGUAAGUUCCGACCCGCACGAAAGGCGUAAUGAUUUGAGCGCUGUCUCGACAAUGCAUCCGGUGAAAUUGAAGUACCAGUGAAGAUGCUGGUUACCCGCGCCAGGACGGAAAGACCCCAUGGAGCUUUACUCCAGUUUGGUACUGGGGUCCGGCAGUGCAUGUACAGGAUAGGUGGGAGGCUGUGAACCUGGAACGCCAGUUUCAGGGGAGCCAUUGUUGGGAUACCACCCUUGUGCUGCUGGGCUUCUAACCAGCGGCCUUUAUCAGGCCGGGGGACAAUGCCAGACGGGGAGUUUGACUGGGGCGGUCGCCUCCGAAAGGGUAUCGGAGGCGCUCAAAGGUUCCCUCAGAAUGGUCGGAAACCAUUCGAAGAGUGCAAAGGCAGAAGGGAGCUUGACUGCGACACCGACGGGUGGAGCAGGUACGAAAGUAGGACUUAGUGAUCCGGUGGUAUUAAGUGGGAAUGCCAUCGCUCAACGGAUAAAAGCUACCCUGGGGAUAACAGGCUUAUCACUCCCAAGAGUUCACAUCGACGGAGUGGUUUGGCACCUCGAUGUCGGCUCAUCGCAUCCUGGGGCUGUAGUAGGUCCCAAGGGUUGGGCUGUUCGCCCAUUAAAGCGGUACGCGAGCUGGGUUCAGAACGUCGUGAGACAGUUCGGUCCCUAUCCGGCGUGGGCGUAGGAUAUCUGAGAGGAGCUGUCCUUAGUACGAGAGGACCGGGAUGGACUGACCUCUGGUGCACCGGUUGCAUUGCCAAAUGCAUAGCCGGGUAGCCAAGUCGGGACGGGAUAAACGCUGAAGGCAUCUAAGCGUGAAGCCCCCCUCAAGAUGAGAUAUCCCAUAACAUAAGUUAGUAAGACCCCUUGAAGACGACGAGGUAGAUAGGCAGAAGGUGGAAGUGUGGUGACAUAUGGAGCUGAUCUGUACUAAUAGGUCGAGGGCUUAACCAA